CCUUUCAUCUCGCCCACCCACUCCGGAGCAUCCAGAAACAAGUGCACCCCUCCCCAGCCGGGGACUGGGUGGGGCUCAGGCUGCGGACCCUGGCUUGGGCUGGGGAGUGGCCCAGGCCUGGUCCUGGAGAGCCGCUGGCGUCCUCAAUCAAGCGUCCCUGGAAGCCAGCAGAGGGGAAGAGGAGCCCACGGGAAAGAAAUGCAGGCGAGGUUGAGAAUAAAGGCUGCUCCCAGGUAUGACAGCUACCUCGGUAAGAUGGAAGACAGAAUUGACAAGGCAAAUUUCAUGGAUGAGUUAGUAAGGAAGAAGUAAAACUGCAAGAGGUCAUAUUUGUAAAAUAAGCCUGACAAAACAGUUCCCCAUAUGGACUCAUCUGGGUACCUGUGGAAAUGUAAUCACUUUCCUUGUCAGGUAAGUUUGUUAUUCCAUCUCUCAUCUGUAAGGUAGGCUUCUCUUU